rnacentral:rRNA from 1 species
UACGAAGGGGGCUAGCGUUGCUCGGAAUCACUGGGCGUAAAGGGUGCGUAGGCGGGUCUUUAAGUCAGGGGUGAAAUCCUAGGAGCUCAACUCCCAGUAACUGCCUUUGAUACUGAAGAUCUUGAGUUCGGGAGAGGUGAGUGGAACUGCGAGUGUAGAGGUGAAAUUCGUAGAUAUUCGCAAGAACACCAGUGGCGAAGGCGGCUCACUGGCCCGAGUACUGACGCUGAUGCACGAAAGCGUGGGGAGCAAACAGG